GACAGACAGCAUGGGUCUGACUGGGAAUUGAGCCAGCUGGUCCACUCAUCCUCAGUGUCCCGUUGACUCUCAGAGGCUUCUCCCUAGCUUCCACACUGUGAAGAUAAUUCAGGACUGCUGUGACAAUUGCUACCUCCUGGUCCUCAGAGGGAGGUUGUCCAUGAUACUACCGUUGAGUUCUUGGGUGCUUAAGAAGACUGGUCUCUUGCUUUCAACCACAGGAGACAGGAUGCCUAAUUGCGAUGCCAGCUUCUGGGAUGGACAUGGACCCAGGACCCGUCAUCACUGGGCAGCUUAACAGAGUGCUUCCUCGACCAAUGUGCGGCCUCCAGUAGUAUCAAGCUGGAGAGGGCCCUCUGGAGAGUGUGGAUGGGGACCAGUGCCAGAGUGUGUGCCCUGUGAGCCGUCCUCUCAGUUCCUCUAGCCUCAGGAGAUGUGCCAGAAGGAUCUUUGCCUUCUGGAGGCUCCACCAUUGUGUUGGAGCUGGUCAGUGGACAGUGUUUGGAGGAAGACCCUGGACAGUUCUGAGCAUGCUUACUGACUGGACCUUCCAUCUACUACUAGCUAUCGUCAUUGCCACUGCGCGGUUCUUAGGAACAUUUCCAAGAGGUGAUGCCAGCUCAGAGAAGAGCCUCUGAUCCACAGGUCAGUUUCCAGAACACCUAGAUGAAGUGCCUGUGAUGUCUUUUCCUCUUAUGAUAGACUGCAUGUGACUGGCCUCUUGUGGCGCCUCAGCAAGGCUAGAGGCCCAUGUGAACUCUUGUCACUGUCAGAGACAGGACUGUUGGUCCCAGUCCAUGGUUCAGAAAAACGGGUGGUGGGCACAGACUCUGCCUGUGGCCUGUGUCAUCAGGUCCUGGCCCUCGUGGGGCUAGCCCUCUCCUCUGACACGCUUGCAUGGGUUCUUCAGAUGAGCUGUUUUACAGUGUGUGAAGAGAGACCAUUCAGUAUCUCUUCCCUCCAUGUUCGUCACUGACAUUUUAAUUGCUUUGUUUAUGGGGCAGCAGCCCCAUAACAGCCCUUGCUGUUACUUCUUAAACCACCUGUGAGUGGUGCCAAGGUGGAGGGUGUGCACACGUGCAGGACCGUCUCCAGGGCUGGCAAGGGAGAGUUGAGAGUGAGCAGAGUUCUGUGUUCACUUCCUGCACUGUGCUCACUUCUCCUGCUCAGUGUCAGCCCCUAUCUGCCUGUGUCCCGAGGUCCAAUUCGCGUCCGGGGAGGGGAGCUCUAGAUACUCCUUCUGGGGGAGAUGAAAAGAUGGCAGAUGCACUGGGGAGGCGAUGGGGUAAUUGCUCUCAGGGAGUGGAGGGCGGCUUCUUGCUGAAUGGGGGGAGGUACCAACUCUGGGGGGCUCCGAGGAUAAGUCUCCUGGAAACACACCCACCUUGAAGCAUCGGCCAUGGUCUGAGCGUCCAGCCUCUCCUUGGUACUCGGAGAGAGGUUACCCGAGCAACUUUGCAUCUGGAGGACGAAUGUUGCUCGGUGAACCCCUUUUCGGUAUCAAAUCCCUCCAGGGAGGCCAAGUGGAGCCCCCAGCACCUCAGGGAAGAACGUGGAGUCAUCUUGCUUUGGGGUAUGGGACGGAUGGUCGACCAGCUGGAAAGUAAUUGUCUCUAAUGUACUUCACCUGGUCCACUAGCCGUCGGUGCCCGCCGCAGCCCGCGCCCAGCAUGUCUCUGCCUCAGCACCUCUGCUGGUACUUGAAGGGAGAUCGACCGUGUUAUAUUCGCUUGGCUGACUUCGAAUAAUACAUGGUUGAUCUUUUCUCGGUAUCAACGCUCAGCUUGGAGAAGCUCUUGGAGUUGCAGCCCCCGUGGGGGUGGGGACGGGAUGGUGCUUCUAGGUUGCUGCCUCAGCGGGGACCUGGGCUGGGGGGGGGUCAGGCUGUGUGCUGGCUGGCUGUGUCCAACUCUUCUCACCAUUCAUGUCUACCUUACCCCCUCCCCAGGACAGGUUCAGGAGGUGAUGCAAACUCCAUGGAUGCAGCAGUCAACACUGGGUACUUGAGGAGAGGUUGUCUGUGAUGAGUUCGCUUUAUUAAUGACGAAUAUAACACAGAUGGCCUGUUUUCAAUACCACCUGUCACUCCUGUUACUCGGCAGUACAUACCAGGUGCCACACCACUGCUCGGCAGGUGACACUGGAUUGAUCCCCAGGAGUAGAUGAUGUUCAGAAACUCCACCUACAUUUGGGACAGUCCCACUGGGUCAGCUAUGGCUGCAACAAGCCCUGAGGCCUGACUUGAAGCCAUCAGUGGGACCGGAGCUGCUCUGCUGUGUUUUGUUGCCUUUUCCUCCCUGAAUCUCCUGCUUAAGACAAUGAAGAUGGAUGACUGGAGACCAUGCCCCGCUGAGAGGACCCACUGGGGGGACCCAGAACCCCGGCCACACCCUGUGCCAUCCUCCUCUGAGGCCCCCCACCAAUAACCCCCCCUCCCACUGCCCAGCCUUGCAGUUCAGAUCUCAGCGUGGAUCUGAGCAGCCUUUGCUUAGGAACCUGAGUUGGGGGGUGAGUAGGCAGGCACAGGGGACUGGGUAGAAGAAAAGGUUUCUGCUCUUGGCUUUCGAAGCCUCAAUGUGUGGAGCCCUUUGAAUAAUAAACAUAUUUCAUAAAAUGUAAA